rnacentral:lncRNA from 1 species
AAGGAACAGACAAGCCCUCAGCUCUACCACUUUGGAGAGUGGGGGAUUGGACAACAUGAGCCUUCAAUCGUAUCUCUUGGAUGACCAAGGAAGGCUGGAUUUCUGCACCUAAAAAAAUGGAAGCACCAACUGUACAACAAAUACUGUCCAUUCAAGUUGAAGUUCUCAAAUAAGGUCUUGGCCUGUUCUAGAGAAUGCUCCUCAUCAAAAAUAAUUGACUGGAGACAAGCCAAGUCAGGAUUCUCCCUGGGAUCAAUUUCUGAUGGCGCUUUCUUCAUAAACAGGGGGACCUUUUCAAAUUCCUCUUCCCACUGGUCCUCAUGAAAGCCGCCACGGUAAGGCUGGCUCUGGAACUUUUCCAGGAACGAGUCCAUGGCAUCGUCUGAGGUGGGGUCCUGCUCAGGUUACUCCAUAACUGAUGCCCUGCCCUCCAGCCCAGGUCCCGGCACCGUGAAGUGUAGAAAAUACUCUACAAUGAAUAAAAAUAAAAUACAAUAUCCAAGAUUUAUGAAUGCAAUAAAAGCAGUGGUCAG